GAUGAACGCUGGCGGCGUGCCUAAUACAUGCAAGUAGAACGCUGAAGCUUGGUGCUUGCACCGAGCGGAUGAGUUGCGAACGGGUGAGUAACGCGUAGGUAACCUGCCUGGUAGCGGGGGAUAACUAUUGGAAACGAUAGCUAAUACCGCAUAACAGUCGACAUUGCAUGAUGUUGAUUUGAAAGGGGCAAAUGCUCCACUACCAGAUGGACCUGCGUUGUAUUAGCUAGUUGGUGAGGUAACGGCUCACCAAGGCGACGAUACAUAGCCGACCUGAGAGGGUGAUCGGCCACACUGGGACUGAGACACGGCCCAGACUCCUACGGGAGGCAGCAGUAGGGAAUCUUCGGCAAUGGACGGAAGUCUGACCGAGCAACGCCGCGUGAGUGAAGAAGGUUUUCGGAUCGUAAAGCUCUGUUGUAAGAGAAGAACGAGUGUGAGAGUGGAAAGUUCA
rnacentral:rRNA from 1 species